AAAAUAAAAAGCAGUCGAAGGGACAAAACGAGCGGAAGGGUUCGCUCAGCCCAAGCCCCCGGUUCCUCUCCCUCCUGUGCAGCCGCCGCGACCACCCGCGUCCUCCCCCCGCAGCUGGCGCCCUCACCAUCUCCCCACCACCGACGAGCUCCUCCCCUCUUCCUCGCCCCAGAUCGACCUACCGCCAUUCGUGCAUCUCGCCCUCGUAACCGGCCGCCGCUGCCGUGCCCCCCCCCCCCUCUCGCGCGGUGCUGAGGUGCGGAUGGAGGCUUUGGGCGAGGGCAGCGAGAUGCAGAGAAGCCCUAUGUAUAGGUGACAGGAGGCGAUGGGUGGCGGGUCGAGAAGAAGAGAGAGAGGAGGUGAGGAGGCAGAUGAAAGGGGACAACUAUGAAGUGAUGGUGGAUCAAUCCUAUUCCUCUAUGUGUGUUCUUGCUCCGAAGAUUGAGGUUGGAUAUGAUUCUGCCAUUAAUUUCAAGAUGUUUGCUCAUUCUGGCCCUAAGGAUGGAUGUAAGUGGCUCACAAUAUGUUUGAGGAAAUGCCUAUAUGCAGAGAGAGGGUUGGGGGCGCUUGAGGCGACGGCGGAGGAGCCACUCUUGCCGGCUGCAGCGACUACUCCAAGUGGAGGUGGAGCGAAGCAGCGGGUUCACGCCAGGCCGGGCCCAGGACAAUGACUUUAGGGGUGCCGUGCCCUGCAUAUUUCGUCGGGGAGAAGAUGUGUUCAUUGCUGAAACUGGAUACAAGGGUGCUUCCUUCUUCCAAGAUAUUGACGAAGCCUGGCAGCUAUAGAUUUUCCUCAGCACAAGUGCAAGCAGAUCUUAAUCAAUGUCACUCCAGUUGAUGAUGUUAUGAAGCUUCCUUCAGUAACUGAAUGAGAGAGAUGGAGGCACUGGAGAAGAAAGGGCACAGAUCCUUGGCCAAACCAGUGAAUCCCCCCUACAAUACCCCAUCUAGGCACAAGCGUUCCAAAAGCGAUUUAGAGGAGAAAAAUGCAAGGAUGCAUAGCCUUCUUCGCAGAAAGUUUCUAAUCACCCAAAGCCAAAUGGUAGGAACUCAAACUCUCGUCUGCAGAACGAAACCAACAAGGGAAUCCAUCCCAAGAGUGACACGCAAGACAUCCUAAGAAAAGAGACAGGAAGCAAUUCUUUUUUUUUUCUGUUCUUACUAGCUCACAUGCAGAAGAAAUCAGAGACUGCAUCUUGAAAGAAUUGUUACAACAUUUUCAUUUCUGGAUGCACCCAGCAUUUUGGUCUAAUGGGAUGACGAUGAUCUGAUGUAGAUUGUGCAGCUGGAGAGGCACCUUGACCGUCAGCAAACGGUGCACGGCGCACUGAAGAAAGCCUUGGGUCCUAACUCUGCUCAGUUACUCUAUUCAAUGAGAGGGCAAUCCUCAAGCCAACUAACCAACUGAUAAGGGAGGUUGCCACACUGGAGCUGGAGAUCAAGCACCUGGAGUAGUACCUCAUAACAUUGUACAUGAAAGCAUUUGAGGAAGCACCUACAUUGAGUUCACGGUCUGCGGUGCUCGAGGAAACACCAAAGGCAAAGGCGACUGUCGAAAGAGGUAGUGAUGCAAUGCUCCAUUGCAGCUGCCUCCCCUUAGCAAGAGGAGGAAUGGCACAUGGAGGAUUCCUCUCCGUCCAAAUGCCCAACGAAGGGUCGAUGGUCAUGAAUCAAAGUUAACUUCCUCUCUACUUAUCAUUUAACUGCGACAAAGAAUUUGAGCCAGCACCAAUACAACUGUCUGAUGCUUUGCAAAGUAGGCAUUAAGAAUAGAGGCCUCUUAAGAAUAUGAAAGAGAACUUGCAAUUCCAUUUGUCAAUGUGCAGUGCCAAAGAACACAUUUACAUUUUGCAGGUAGCUGCGACAUCAAAGGAUGGAGGGUACACCUGAUGUAGCGGACUUCGUCGUCUCAUCGACAAGCUCACUCGUGACAGUACACCAGCUGCAGCUCUGGGAGGGACGGUGUGCAUCGGAUGGGACCCGGCACGGCACGCGGCCGAUGAGGAAGAGGACCAGCGGACGGGGCUUGACAAGGUGUCGCUGGCUGCCAUGCUGGUGUCUAGAUUCAGGGCAGAGUGCGUGGCGGCACCAAGAAGGUUGGGGAGGAUUGCGUGAUAUACCUGUGCACCAUGCAGGAUGGAUCCGGCAUGGCGGCCGGGCCGACAAGGAAGAGGACCAGUGAAGGGGUGCUCGACAAGGCGGCGCUGGCACCAAUGCCGGUGCUCAUAUUCAAGGCAGGGGCAAGGCGGAGGCCCGCGAUGGCGCAAAGCUGAAGGGGCGCUUACCCAGCUAGCACCGCCUGAGCUAGGCGGCGCGCCACAGGCGCCCCCCAGCUGCUAGUCACCGUCACGGGCCACAGCCUUGGCGCGUCGCUGGCGACCCUCAACGCAGUCGACAUGGUCUCCCAAGGCGUGAACGUGCCGCCCUCCUCGGCACAGCAGCAGCCUCCGUGCCCAGUGACGGCGAUCCUCUUCGCGAGCCCGCACGUAGGCAACGACAGCUUCAAGUCGGCCUUCGCUUCGUUCCCAGACCUCCGUGCGCUUCAUAUGAGGAACGCCGGCGACGUGGUGCCCCUAUACCCGCCGAUCGGGUACGUGGAUGCGGCGACGGCGGUGCUGCUCGUGGACACUGGCCGGUCGCCAUACCUGAAGCAGCCGGGCACUGUGCAGACGCGCCACAACCUCGAGUGCUACCUGCACGGCGUGGCCGGGUUCCAGGGUGCCGGCGGAGGGUUCAAACUUGAGGUGGACCGCGACGUGGCCCUGGUGAACAAGGGUGUUGACGCGCUCAAGGAUAAGUAUCCAGUGCCGCCCAACUGGCAUGUUAUCAACAACAAGUCCAUGGUGAGGGACUCCGAUGGUCACUGGAAGCUCAGAGACUUCGAGGAGACCUGAUUGAGAAGUGUGUAU